AGAUUUGCUUUGGAAGAAAGAACGCUGCAAAUCCUAAUCCAAGAAUGCUUAGGAAGAAGGAUAGAAGCAGAAACAGGAGAGAAUGGAGAGACUCUUUAAGAUGAAGAAAGAAUGUUGGCCUUCAGCGUGUUCUUCAAGCAUAGAGUAAAUUGCACAGGAAACUUCUCUGAUUGAAUAUUGGAGGUCAUCUUUUGGUAAGUGUGGCACACAAUGAAUCUAGGCAUCAUAAAUUCUAAGAUGUAAAUUAC
rnacentral:lncRNA from 1 species